GUAUUUUUCUUGUAGAUUUCACAGGACUUUCUGCAUAGACAGGAAUGUCAUUUGUGAAUAAAGACAGUUUUAUUCUUCCCGUACAAUAUGAAUGCCUUUCAUUUUUGCCCUAUUUCACUGGCUGCAUCUUCCAGUAUAAUUUUGAAUAGAAUUGGUGAGAGUGGAUCCUUGCCUUGUUCCUGAUCUUAGGCAGAAAACAUUCAGUCUUUCAUCAUUAAUGAGGUUAACGGUAGGUUUUUUCAUAAAUGCCUUUUAUUAGGUUGAGGAGGUUCCCUUCUAUUCCUAGUCUGUUGAGUUUUAUUGAUUAAGUUUUGAAUGCUAAACCAAUCUUGCAUUCCUGGGAUGAACCCCACUUGUUCAUGAUGUAUUUUCCAUUUUAUAUAUAAUUGGAUUCAAUUGCCUGGGGCAAUUAUAGGGCUCACUUAGUUUGUUUCCUGUUUCUCAGCGAUGAUUGUCCAUUGCCCAAUGUCCAAUGUCUUGAAAACUGCUGUUUUACAGUUUUGUCCCUGUAAAUUUGGUCCCCGUUACUCCAUCUUGACUAGAAGCAGAAGUUCAAAUGUUGCAUUAUUAACGUGAACUCUGGAGAAACUGUGAUAAAAAAAACUGUCUUUUCUGAAUCAUAAGCCAAAAUGACGUGUAUGUUUUCACACCAAAUAGUGAUAACAGAGACUCAGAAACGCAGCAAAUAGAAAUGGAAAUCCAAGGCUCAAGAGGCAUCUGUAAGUUUGAGAAAGUUUGCUAUUUCAUUUAAACAGCAAAUUAAAUAUAUUUUGUAAGGUUAGCAGAAACAGCUCUUUUUAAAAUGAUAUUCAUAAUUUCUAUUCUAAGAAAAGAAAUCACUAGCGAGUGUGUAUACACACACAGAGGAAUGAGGAAGCAGUGAAAUUAAAAUUUUUUAAAAAACCAACCUUUACAUCAAUUGGCGUAUCUCAUGCAGAGAACCUUUAAAUUGAACCUAGGCACUCCCAAAAAGAAAAUCAAUCAAGAGUGGUAUCUUCUUAUAGGUUAAAAAGACAUUCAAUAUUCAUAGAAUUGCUUAUCUGCAGAACUUUAUUUAUUUAUUUUUUUGAGACAGAGUCUCGCUCUGUCACCCGGGCUGUAGCGCAGUGGUGCAAUCUCCGCUCACUGCAGGCUCCGCCUCCCGGGUUCACGCCACUCUCACGCCUCAGCCUCCCGAGUAGCUGGGACUGCAGUGCCGGCCACCAUGCCCGGCUAAUUUUUUGUUUUUGUAUUUUUAGUAGAGACAGGGUUUCACCGUGUUAGCCAGGAUGGUCUCGAUCUCCUGACUUCGUGAUCUCCCCGCCUCGGCCUCCCAAAGUGCUGGGAUUACAGGCGUGAGCCACCGCGCCCGGCCAAAACUUUAAAGAUAAGUAUACUCGUUAUUAGUUAUCCCACAAGUUCAGGAAUACUUUGAGAAUAUAUUCCAAUUUUUGCAAUUCUUAUUUCUUAUUAAUUUACGAGGGGAAGUUAAACCUUUUUAGCAGAAGUGGUAGUUCCAGAAACAUCUGGUGUUUAUAAACAGCAGCUUGUGGGUGGAGACUAUGUCUCCCUAAUUUGUCAGCAGUUCAAUGCUGCAUUGAUAGACAAAUUGAAGUGGCCUAAAAGCUAGAACUUUGAGAAUUAUGUUAGCCUAGUUGAGCUUUGGAUCCAUUGUUCUGGAGUAUUGAUUUUCUUUUCCCAGGGAUCUUAAUUUAGUUUAGUUUUAGUUUUCAAUAAAUUAUUUGUUCAUUCAUAUAAUGGUGCUUUGAGAGAGGAUUUGAUAUAACGUUUCAGGAUCUAUUCAAAGGCUCAGACCGAGCAGGAACAAAACACUGCUACAAGGACUUCCUCUAGACACACCUCUUUUCAUCUCUGCAGCAAUUCACUUUUCACACUAUGGACUGGACUCCCUUUGAGUAACCAAUAAAUCACAAAAGGUGUGUGUAAACUGUUUUUGCUUCAGUCAUACUUGACUGUUUUAUUAGGCAUAGAUCCAAGUGUAGGCUACAAUCAUGAUUUUUUUUUUUUUUGAGAUGGAGUGUUGCUCUUGUUGCCCAAGCUGGAGUGCAAUGGUGCAAUCUCGGCUCACUGCAACCUCGACAUCCGUCUCCUGGUUUCAAGCGAUUCUCCUGUAGCUGGGAUUACAGGUGCCCGCCACCAAGCCCAGCUAAUUUUUGUACUUUUAGUAGAUACGGGGUUUUGCCCUGUUGGUCAGGCUGAUCUUGAACUCCUGACCUCAGGUGAUCCGCCCACCUCGGCCUCCCAAAGUGCUGGGAUUACAGGCAUGAGCCACUGCACCCAGCCUUACAAUCAUGAUUUUUUAAAUCUUAAAUUUCAUCUCCUAAUUUAAGAUUUCAUCUCCUUUGAAUAAAAUAAAAUCUCAGCUACUGGAGUACAUUAAUUAAUGCACCACUUCAUACACAUAACAGUUUCCCAUGUCAGUCUGAGAUCUGACUUACAUUUUCCUUCAAAACACUUUCCAUUUUUUUCAAAAUUUAAUUAUCUAUGGAGCAGCUAAAUCUCUCUGCUCAAAAGACCAUUAGUAGAAUGUCAAUGUAAUUUACAGAGGUGUUAACAAGAUAGCAUACCUUACACUCUGGUUUCAGAUUGAAUUUAAAUAUUUAUUGAAUUUAAAUAUUGGUUUUAUUAAUUACCAGCUGUAGGACUGUGCCUCAGUUUCCUCUUUUUUUUUGGGGAGACAGGGUCUCACUCCGUCACCCAGGCUGGAGUACAGUGGUGCUAUCAUCGCUCACUGCAGCCUCUACCUCCUGAGCUCAGGCAAUCCUCCCACUCAGCCUCCUGAGCAGCUGGGACUACAGGCACGCACCACCAUGCCCUGCUAAUUUCGUUUAUUUUUUUUUUUGUAGAGAUGAGGUCUUGCUAUGUUGCCCAGGCUGGUCUCAAACUCCUAGACUCAAGUGAUCCUCCUGCCUCAGCCUCCCAAAUUGCUGGGAUUAUAGGUGCGAGCCACCGUGCCUGGCCUGGUUUCCUCUCUCUCAUUUUUUUUUUUUUUUUUUUUUGAGGAGUCUCGCUGUGUCGCCCAGCCUGGAGUGCAGCAGUGCAAUCUCGGCUCACUGCAACCUCUGCCUCCAGGGUUCAAGUGAUUCUCCUGCCUCAGCCUCCCAAGUAGCUGGGAUUACAGGUGCCUGCCACCAUGUCCCGCUUAAUUUUCGUAUUCUUAGUAGAGACAGAGUUUCCCCAUGUUGGUUAGGCUGGUCUUGAACUCCUGACCUCAGGCGAUCCGCCUGCCUCAGCCUCCCAAAAUGCUGGGUUUAUAAGCGUGAGCCACCAUACCCGGCCAGUUUUCUCGUUUUUAAAAAUGGGUAAAGGCCGGGCGCCCUGGCUCACGCCUGUAAUCGCAGCAUUUUGGGAGGGUGAGGCAGGCAGAUCACCUGAGGUCAGGAGUUUGAAACCAGCCUGGCCAACAGGGUGAAAUCCCAUCUCUACUAAAAAUACAAAAAUAAGCCUGGCGUGUUGGCGCAUGCCUGUAAUCCCAGCUACUGGGGAGGCUGAGGCAGGAAAAUCAUUUGAGCCUGGGAGGCGGAAGCUGCAGUGAGCCAAGAUAGCGUUAUUGCACUCCAGCUUGGGCGACAGAGCAAGACUCUGUCUCCAAAUAAAUAAAUAAAAAUAAAAAUGGGAUAAGAUUAGUAACUAACUCAUAGGGUCGUGGAAGUGAGUAAAUGAAAUAAAACAUAUAAAGGGUGUAGUACUGUGCCCAACACAUGGCAAAUGCUUCACAAGUUGUUGUUUCUGCCUCAGAUUAAAACCAUUGCGAAUGUUUUCAGUGGAGUGUAGGGUUUCUUUUAAAAAAAGAUGGAAAAUUUCUGAUUUUGAGGGCUUCAAUAUUUAAAGGGGAAAAGCAGGCUGGAGGGGAAAGAGGGAGGGCAUGGUCACAUUACUGAAUUUACAUAUUGCUAGAGAAUAGGAGCAGGUAGGGGAAUAGUCAAUUAUGUAUUUGUCUAACGCUUAGUAAAUCGGCACUUUACAUAAGAUAAGCUGAACAUAGAGUAGUUACCUGCGGAGAUAUUUAACCUUUUAUGUGUAGCUAUUUGCUUCAAAACAAAAGGAAAGGCAGUUUCUUGCAUGACUCAGCUUUUAGCUUAAUUUUUUCCUUUGGCAGAGUGAAUUGGGUUUCCAAGAUUUUAUUUUCCUUUUACACAGCACACCCAAAGUACGUGACACAAUCUAAUUUCAUGUGGGCAACAAUAACUUUCACAUUGAGCAUAUGAGAAAUCCGGAGAGACUCAUGGCAUAGACUGUGAUAUAAAUAGAAUCCUUAAAUUGUGGAGUGUACCCACCUACACAUGAACUAAAUCUAUUUUUAUGAGAUCAUCACUGACUCCAUAUUGAGCAUAUUAAGGAACCCAGAAACAUCUGUGGAAUAGAGUGUAAUAUGAAAGGUCUGCCUACAGCUGUGUAGUGCACCCAACUGUAUAUAGAAUAAGUCUACUUCCAUGGGGUCAUCACUUCCUUCCACACUAAGCAAAUUAGGAAUUUAGGAAGAUCCCUAGUAUAGAUUGUGGUGUGAUUGCUGCCUCCUUGAUUUGUGUAGUCCUCUCAACCAUGCAUAGACUAGGUCUACUUUGAUAUGACUAUCACUAAAUCACAUUCACAUAUGAGUAGAUCUGAAUAAUUUAUGAUAUAUACUGUGCUAUAAAUGGCAGCCCUUCAGUUGUGCAAUGUAACAAUCUCUGCAUGGUAGACCUAUUCUCUAUAGUUAUCCAUUCUUUUUUCUUCCUUGAAUUUUAAAGUACAGAUUCCCUGAAUUUUAGCUGAAGAAAUGACCACCAAAAUAAAGACAACAUUUCUCAGCCACUUUUGUAACAAACUGUGGCUAUGUAAAUUCUAGACCAUGUGUGUAAGACAUGUGAAACUUCCAGGAAGUGUCUUUAAAGUGAGGUAGAUGCUCUUCCAGAAAAUUUGAAUGAGAUUGGAUAGUUGAGUCUAAGAAGUCAUAUUCGGACAUGAGGCAGAAGCUAUGUGUGGAAGACAGUAGAGCAACAAACUGGAAUGGGCCUGUUUCUUAAUGACUGGAGGGUUACUAUGCCAUUCCUGGGCUGCUGACUUUGACUACUUACUUGAGAACUAUCUUGUUUAUAAGCCACUCCUUAAUGUAAGAUGUGAGUCCAACGUAGCCAUUCCAAAUCCCAACUGUUAGGGUUAUUUUUAUGUGUCAACUUGGCUAGGCUGUUAUGCCCAGUUGGUCAAAUGCCAAUCUAGAUGUUGCUGUGAGGUUAUCUUUUUAGAUGUGAUUGAUAUUUAAAUCAGUAGAUUUGAGUAAACAGAUUACCCUCCAUAAUGUGGGAGGGCCUCAUCCAAUUAGUUGAAGGCCUUGAGAGAAAAGACUGGAAGGCCACUGAAGAAGAAGAAAUGAUGUUUCCAGAUUGCCUUCAGACUCAGGACGUCGACUUCUUGCUGGAAUUUCCAGUCUGAUCUGUGGGUUUGGGUCUUUUUAGCCCCCGCAAUCAUAUGAGGCAAUUCCUUAAAAUAAAUCUCACCAUCUCUGUCUUUCUCCUUCUGUCUUUCCGUGUGUGUGUAUACACACGUUCUGUUUUUCUGAAGAAUCCUGACUAAUCCAUCAACUAAUUCAGUUUUUGGUUUAUUUUAGUUCAUAUAUUCUAUUCUACUUCAAAGACCGCCUGCUUAAAUACUAUAAAUAAAUGUUGCAGAAACCAGCUAUGAGCCAACAGUGUAACUUUUGGACAAGUGAUUUUAUACAUCUAAAAUUAGGUACAAAUAAUUAGGUAAUAAUCCUCUGCAUGUAUCACAGAACUAUUUUGAGGACAAAAUAGCUGUGUUUGGAAAACAAAGGCAAAAAAAGUACUUUAAAAAAUGUAAAAGACUAUAAUUCUUGAUAUCCAGAACAAGUUAUAUAUCAACUGUUGUGCUUAACAACUUACUCAACAGCUAAAAAGAACAGACUUUGCAGCUUGUAAAGAAAUAUGACUCAAUUUUCAAGUCAAGCGCUUCGAACAGAACUUGAAACGUAUGCCUGCAAAAUUCCAUUCAUGACUGGGAUAUUUUGUCUGGUUAUUGGGUCAAGUUAAAUGGAUAAUUACUUUAUUAGGUGUGCAUGCCCGGCAGCCCACUAUUAGGGUUUUAUGGGGAUUUUGGGGUCUGUAGAAGCUGCAUACAAGGAGGCACACUUUUCCUACCUUUACCUCUGUAGCUGAGCCUUAGCAUCAGGAGUUUACUAGCUAGAAGAGAAAGCUUGUCCAACCCACUGCCCGCAGGCUGCAUGCGGCCAAGGACAGCUUUGAAUGCAGCCCACCGCAAAUCCAUAAACUUUCUUAAAACAUUAUGAGAUUUAUUUUUUGCAGUUUUCUUUUUUUAGCUCAUCAGCUAUUGUUGGUGUUAGUGUAUUUUAUAUGUGGUCCAAGACAAUUCUUCUUCUUCCAAUGUGGCCCAGGGAAGCCGAAAGAUUGGACACCCUUAUUAGAGCAUCUCUUGUUCUUGACCCAAAUGGUAGCGUAAGUGACUAUUCUAUCACUUAUCUUUGUUAUGAAGAAACCCCUUAAGUAAUAAAACAAAACAAAAAACUUUUUUCUUUUUUGAUGUAUUCCAUGUACAUAAUUAUCAAUAUUUGGAGUGUUGCCUCAACUGGUCCUUGUGGCAGCCCUAAAUUUUUUUUUUUUUUUUUUUUUUUUUUUGAGACAAGGUCUCGCUCUGUCACCCAGGCUGGAGUGCAGUGGCUCAGUCUCAGCUCACUGCAACCUCUGCCUCCCUAGCUCAAGCAAUCCUCCUACCUCAGCCUCCUGAGUAGCUGGGAUUACAGGUGUGUGCCACCAUGCCUGGCUAAUUUUUGUAUUUUUGGUAGAGAUGGGGUUUUGCCAUGCUGCCCAGGCUGGACUUGACCUCCUUGGCUCAAGCGAUCCUCCAGCCUCCGCCUCCCACAGUGCUAGGAUUACAAGUGUAAACCACCAUGCCUGGCCUAAACUUCUUAUGUUAUAAGUCUUGAUUAAUUCUAUCUGGACUCCAAAUUCCCCUAACAGAUACCAUAUUUAUCUAUUCUGUUAGCCCCAUUGGUUUCUGCCAUAUAAAUGUUUUCAUCAUUCCUCACUAACAAGUCUUUCUCACUAUGCCACAGUGAUUAUACACUCAUCAUACUAAAUCUUUUAUUCUCUGGGAUAUGUCACUCUUUGGCAUCUUUCCCGUGUCUAUCUGUGUGUUUUUUCUUGCCUUUACAUGUUCAUAAUUACUGUAAUAUCUCCUAAGCAGGAAUCUUUUUUGCAGGGCAAAGCUAGGUUUCAGCUUGCUUAAUCUUAGGUAUAAUUGUGACUCUUGUUUCUCAGGCCAUUCUUGCCAUGGGGAAAAGGUUAAAGACCAUCUCCUGAAAAGAGGUAUUUGGAACAAGCCUGCAACAAUUUUUUAAAAUUUAUUUUUUGGGGGAAUAUGUAAUACAAAUACAUAGUACAAAAGGGCAAAAAGCUCCCUAGGCACCCAAUUCCUCUCUCUGGAAAGUAAACAAAAUUGUCAGUUUCAUGUGACUCCUUCCAGAGAUAUUCUAGCAUUUAAAAGAUAUACACAAAAUAAAAAAAAAUAGAAAAAGACACACACACAUAUAUACAAACACACACAAACACGAGAGAGAGAGGGAGAGAGAAGGGAGGAGGGCAUACUGCAUGUACAUUAUAUAACUCCUUUUUUUCACUUAAUAUAUCUUGGGGAAUGUUUUAUAUCAGUACACAUAGAGCCAUCUCAUUCUUUUAAAUAGCUGCAUUAUACUCCAUUAUAUAGAUGAGCCGUUAUUUAUCCAAUUCCUUACUGAGGAACACUUGGGUAAUUUCCAAUCUUUUCCUAUAAUAAAAAAUGCUGUAAUGAGUGUCCUUCUACAUACAUCAUUUCACACACCUAUGAAAAUAUCUUUAUAAUAACUAAGAGCAAAACUCCAUAGUCAGAGGACCUGUGAAGUUACAAUUUUUUAUAGACAUCUUUGACCAUUAGUAUAAGGGGAAAAUUGAAUCUCUUUGUAGUUUCCAUUUGCAUUUCUCUGAUCACAGUGAAGUUGAGUAUCUUCUCCUAGCAAAUUGUUUUGUUUUUGUUUUGUUUUGCUUUGAGAUGGAGUUUUGCUCUUGUUGCCCAGGCCGGAGUGCAGUGGCAAGAUCUUUGCUCACUGCAACCUCCGUCUCCUGGGUUCAAGCGAUUCUCAUGCCUCAGCCUCCUGAGUAGCUGGGAUUACAGGCGCCAGCCACCAUGCCUGGCUAAUUUUUGUAUUUUUAGUAGAGACAGGGUUUCACUAUGUUGGUCAGGCUGGUCUUGAACUUCUGACUUCGUGAUCUGUCCGCCUCGGCCUCCUAAAGUGCUGUGAUUACAGGCGUGAGCCACCGCACCCAGCCUCUUCUUAGGCUCUUAAUGCUGAAAAUCCUCAAGGUAUCAAUAUAUCACUUCAUUCCCUAGAGUUCUUGAUAUGCCUAUCAAAGCCAGGUGCUUUUUAUAUGCAGAAGUGAUGAGAAUGUCCAUCCUCGCUCCCCUGCUGUUCCUUAUCUCCUAGGCAUUGACCCAGGCCCCUGUUUGUGUCUCAGUGACAUUUGCUUUUUUUUUUUUUUUUUUUUGAGACAGAGUCUCACUCU
rnacentral:lncRNA from 10 species